AUUGAACGCUGGCGGCAGGCCUAACACACGCAAGUCGAGCGGAUGAAGGGAGCUUGCUCCUGGAUUCAGCGGCGGACGGGUGAGUAAUGCCUAGGAAUCUGCCUGGUAGUGGGGGAUAACGUCCGGAAACGGGCGCUAAUACCGCAUACGUCCUGAGGGAGAAAGUGGGGGAUCUUCGGACCUCACGCUAUCAGAUGAGCCUAGGUCGGAUUAGCUAGUUGGUGGGGUAAAGGCCUACCAAGGCGACGAUCCGUAACUGGUCUGAGAGGAUGAUCAGUCACACUGGAACUGAGACACGGUCCAGACUCCUACGGGAGGCAGCAGUGGGGAAUAUUGGACAAUGGGCGAAAGCCUGAUCCAGCCAUGCCGCGUGUGUGAAGAAGGUCUUCGGAUUGUAAAGCACUUUAAGUUGGGAGGAGGGGCAGUAAGUUAAUACCUUGCUGUUUUGACGUUACCAACAGAAUAAGCACCGGCUAACUUCGUG
rnacentral:rRNA from 1 species